rnacentral:rRNA from 1 species
AAAUUGAAGAGUUUGAUCAUGGCUCAGAUUGAACGCUGGCGGCAGGCCUAACACAUGCAAGUCGAACGGUAACAGGAAACAGCUUGCUGUUUCGCUGACGAGUGGCGGACGGGUGAGUAAUGUCUGGGAAACUGCCUGAUGGAGGGGGAUAACUACUGGAAACGGUAGCUAAUACCGUAUAACGUCGCAAGACCAAAGAGGGGGACCUUCGGGCCUCUUGCCAUCGGAUGUGCCCAG